rnacentral:tRNA from 1 species
GCCGGAGUGGUGGAAUUGGUAGACACGCACGGUUCAGAGCCGUGUGCUGAAGGGUGUGAGGGUUCGAAUCCCUCCUCCGGCA